rnacentral:lncRNA from 1 species
GAUAUUUUUCUCUAGUAUAUGUUCAUCCCAUUAGCAGCCAUAAAUUCCAUAAGUUGAUAUUUGCACCUUGAUCAACCAACUGAGUUUUCAAAUCAGACACUUCAGUCUCAAAUUCAGCCACUUGUGUCUUAAGAUCAUUUACUUGAGAGUUAGACAUUUAUAGCUUUUGUUGUGUUUCUUGAAGUUCCUUUUGAACUUGUUGGGUAGCUAAAUUAGAUGAUGUGAUACGCCUGCUUGGAGGUUUUGGACCAUACCCAAGGCCUUUAAUGUAACCAGAUCCAUGGCCAAGAACCUCCAAGACUAUUUCAUCUGUGUUCUUCUCAGAUCCUUCUUCUCUAUAUUGAUCUCACUUUUUUUUCAUCAACUCCUAUUAAAACACAUGGAUGUAAGAAGGUAUAUACAGUUAAUUACAAUCAUUAACAUAGAAAAGGCUGGAUUUUAAACAAAUAGAUACGAAAGUUAUCCAAUUCUUUUCUACCACUUUAGAUGACCAACCCUUUUCCUCUGAAUAAUGCGUACGUUUAUAUAAAUCAAUCAUAUCAUAAGGAUCUCCAUUUAGCUCCUUUUGAGA